GACGAACGCUGGCGGCGUGCCUAAUACAUGCAAGUAGAACGCACAGUUUAUACCGUAGCUUGCUACACCAUAGACUGUGAGUUGCGAACGGGUGAGUAACGCGUAGGUAACCUGCCUGGUAGCGGGGGAUAACUAUUGGAAACGAUAGCUAAUACCGCAUAAUAUUAAUUAUUGCAUGAUAAUUAAUUGAAAGGUGCAAUUGCACCACUACCAGAUGGACCUGCGUUGUAUUAGCUAGUAGGUGAGGUAACGGCUCACCUAGGCGACGAUACAUAGCCGACCUGAGAGGGUGAUCGGCCUCACUGGGACUGAGACACGGCCCAGACUCCUACGGGAGGCAGCAGUAGGGAAUCUUCGGCAAUGGACGAAAGUCUGACCGAGCAACGCCGCGUGAGUGAAGAAGGUUUUCGGAUCGUAAAGCUCUGUUGUAAGAGAAGAACGGGUGUGAGAGUGGAAAGUUCACACUGUGACGGUAUCUUACCAGAAAGGGACGGCUAACUACGUG
rnacentral:rRNA from 1 species